rnacentral:misc_RNA from 1 species
GAUGAAGAACGCAGCGAAAUGCGAUAAGUAGUGUGAAUUGCAGAAUUCAGUGAAUCAUCGAAUCUUUGAACGCACAUUGCGCCCUUUGGUAUUCCAAAGGGCAUGCCUGUUCGAGCGUCAUUUGUACCCUCAAGCUUUGCUUGGUGUUGGGCGUCUUGUCUCUAGCUUUGCUGGAGACUCGCCUUAAAGUAAUUGGCAGCCGGCCUACUGGUUUCGGAGCGCAGCACAAGUCGCACUCUCUAUCAGCAAAGGCCUAGCAUCCAUUAAGCCUUUUUUUCAACUUUUGACCUCGGAUCAGGUAGGGAUACCCGCUGAACUUAAGCAUAUCAAUAAGCGGAGGA